UGUAUCCUUCGGGGCAGGGUGAAAAUCCCGACCGACGGUAAUAAAGCAAAUGCUUUACAGCCCGUGACCCGUUAAUUUAUUAACGGUUGAUUCAGUGAAAAGCUGAAGCCGACAGUGAAAGUCUGGAUGGGAGAAGGAUAAA
rnacentral:ncRNA from 1 species